ensembl:lincRNA
GGCCUGUGGGCUGAGGGGAGGCUGUGAGGGACACUGCAGCCUCAGGAAGUCUUGGGGCAGUGGUUUUCAUUUCAGGCUCCCUGGUUCUGGUUUAGGAAUCACUCAGGGGUGUCUGGAAAGCAUACUGGACCAGCAUCCAGGUAUGUGGGCUCUGUCCCCAGGUGGAGGGCUCAGGUAAGGCUGCAACCAUCAGAGAGGGAGCCUUGGACACAUCUACUGGCUGCCAAGGUAGGCUUGCCAGCCCAGGGGAGUGCUGUGGGGAGGGUUAGGGCUGUGCACGGUGGCUGAGCAGGUCCAUAAAGCAGUAAGCACCCAUCAGCAGGCACAGGGAGUAUGGGUAGGGGCCCACAGCACCUGCCCUCUAGGUAUUAUCCUGGGGCUCAAAACUGUGGGAGGGACCAGGUGUUUGUACCCAGGGUGAUGGUGUACUUCCCAGGUAGGCUUUGGGGUUGAGUUGAACCUGUGGCAAUAGAAACAGGUGGCAAAGGACUAUGAUGGGGGAUGGUGGGUGUACCCUCCUGAGAUGGGGGAUGAAGGUGUGAGGAUGUCUCAGGAGCCCUGCCCAAGCCUCCAGGCUCAGAACUCAUCCAUUUGUGCUCUCUCUUCCCAUUUCUGCACUAUCCAAGUCUGCUCCAGCAACUCCGCAGGAAGCAGAGGAGAAAGCCAAGGCACAGCAAUUCCCUGUGCAGCAAUCAGGGCAGUUAAACAGGCAUGUGGGGAACCAGGGGAAGAGCAGCACUUCCAGCCAGCACUUGACGUCGAAGAUUUGUGGCCAGAGAAGGACGAAGAGUUUGGGGUAGCAGGGAAGCGUGCUGGGCCUGGGCUCAAGACUUUUUCCAAUGAGGACAGCACACAAACACCCAGAAGACACCAAAGGAGGGAAUAGGAAAUGUUCCGGAGAAAGGUCAUGCAGGCCGACACCACAGUCGGCAUACUGAGGACCCUCAGCCUGCCUGUGGAGGGCCAGAAGGGAAAAGGACGCUGGGAUUGGAGGGCCAACCCAAACAGAUUCUGCAAGACAAUACAGAAAAGAGACUUGGGCUACAACCCUGGCUUAUCACUCACAAGUUGUCUAACCCUGACCAUAGGAUUUCAACUCUUGAGCCAUACUGGCCUUAUCUGCAAAAUGGAAACUAUGAUAAUCUUGCACCGACCUUCUAAGGUGGGCAGGAAGAGUAACUGGAGGAAGCUAUAGAGAGCACCUGAUAUAUCAGGCACUCAACUCUCACUGGCCCCAGAAGACAGGUGGUUGUGGAGUAAUAAAAUCAACAGUUGAGUGUGGGUGCCUUGCCAUGCGCAGACUUGGCUGAAUGACCUAGACGUGUUUACUAACUUGCUCAAGCAGAAAGCUAGGAUCAGGGAAAUGCAGAGCCUGGAUGAACUAACCUGGGACAAGGGAGGGUCCAUAUGGGCGGCAAGCAGGGCGCAGUGGGCGCACUGCACUGAGGGAGACGUCUGGGGCAUAGGGGGCCCAAUUUUGUGGAUGGGCUGGAGAAUCAGGUUGCGGUGGUCCUUGACGUCUACAAGCCAUGGGCAUGGCUGCAUUAGGAUAACUACCCUGUGGUCUGCAUGCCACUGCUCUGUAGCUGGUGUCUCUGGCUGGCAUGGCCCAUCUGUCAGAGGAUGCUCUCCCAGAAGACUCCAAGUCCUCCUCCUUUUCAGUGACAGCUAUUGCAUGGAGUUGAGUUGACUUCCUCCUUUGUACUCAUGAAUGAACCCUGGGAGAAGAGGCAGUGGGACUGGGAAAGGGCCUUCAGCUGGCACGAGCGACGCAGCUCUCAGGACCACAGCCUCGACCAGGUGCAGCUUCUGUGUAGCCAGGAGUCUAGUGCCCUUCCCCUAAUUUUCCCUCCUCUGUGGGUCAGGACUGACUCACAGAGGGAGCAAGGGUUGAGUCUCCACGUUCAAAAGCUGCAGGGCUACGGCUGAGCAAAGACUGGAGACGGCAAAGGCCGCUGAC